GAGGCUACCGUCGGGAUGUUCCUACGUGCACGUCUCGUACCGUGGAACGAAAGACGUGAGUAUUGAUCAGAGUCCGCCGCGGCUGCGAAAGUAGCCGACAUUAUUUCACGGAGAGCCGGCUGCCUUCUCGUAUGCGCUCAUUCUUUUACACGCGCAUCCGCUUUUAUUAAUUACAUGCUUGAGAAAUCUCCCGUUUUACCAACGAUAUUAAAAAACUUGCAUAAAGUGGGACAAUAGUCCAUUAAACGGGACUAAACAGCUAACUGUGUUAGGACAUUACAUAGCUCGUGAAAUGGAUAAUCUAUGUAAACAUUUUCUCAUACAUAUAUCGUUCGCUAUUUCUUCAAAAAAAAUAUCUCGCAUUUGAUUCCGGAAGUAAAUCCGAAAUAAAGAGGACUGAAUGAGACUAAAAUUUAUGCAGUAAAAGAUAAGUCUGGAAAAAAAGAAGAACGAAACGUCUGAAACUGUGAAAGAGACACGUGAUGCUGGUGGACAGAAGAGAGGACAUAAAGCGAAGAUAUACGAAGGCAAUGGAAGGGCCAGAACGUCAUGCUUAUGGCUCGACCCACGACGUCCCUUAUCCCUUUGAAACUUGACACACGUAAUGAACACCGUCGAGCUAAAGUCGCGAUAUGCCGCGUAAGAAUGGAGAUAAUAGUAGAUCCGCGCGGUGCGCGAAGUCACGUGCUGCGUCAUUUCUUUUUACCUAUCCAUAUAUUUGUAGAAAUAAAGCGCGACGCAACGCAACGCUUGCACUUCUUACGAUCUAAUUUUGAAAAUUCUUCAUGUUUCCUCAUAUCUUAAAUAGACAUUUUUCCAGCCUUUAACGUUGUAACGUUGUAACGUUGUAUAAUCAUAAUUAUGACACAUCUAUGUUUUACUUUCAAUUAUCUUAUGAAGAAAAUAUUAAAAUUUUACGCGAAACAAAUACAAGACGUAGACAAAUUCUAGACAAAUCAUUCACAUAUUGUAUCGUUAAAUAUAAUUUUGAAUAUAUAAUAAUAUAAAAAAUUUAGACGUUAGAAUUAAUGGAAUAACAUUUGCAUACGUAGAUGUAAUCGAUGUCCUCGAAGAAACGGGACCCGAAAAGCGUUGGAACGAUCGUAUUUUAUGACGCAUCGUAAUUCAAAUAUCGUAGUGUAUAAAAUUCAAAUCGCCCGUCGUAAAGCAAAAAGUCGUUCCAAGUCGAAUAAGAGUGGUGCAUUAGCGGCCGGACCUACGUUAGACUGUACUUAAUGCACAGUAAAACAGUAAAUAUUCUUCCAUUGUGCUUCUUCGCGCUACGAUAGUCCAAGUAUCGUUAAAAACAUCAAGUUUUGCGCAUAAGAUCUUUUUUGUCUAUCGAAUCGGGAUCACAAACAACGGGAAAAAGUAUUAAAAUUUACGAUGUCGGUUAAAAUUGAAUCAGUUUUAAUCACAAUCUGAAAGCAUCAUUAUUACAUUAUUGAUGCCGCUCGAUGAAUCAAAGUUUCGCUUGCAACUCAUAAUUGAUUUAUUGUUUUGUUAUUUGAGAGAAACAUUUAAAAUUUUGAUUGUUUUUACUUUUCUACUUGACGAUAACAAGAGCGAAGAAUUGUGAAAUAGAUUAACAUAGUUCGGUAUU